CCUACGGGUGACAGCAGUGGGGCAUAUUGCACAAUGGGGGAAACCCUGAUGCAGCGACGCCGCGUGAGUGAAGCAGUAAUUCGUUAUGUAAAGCUCUAUCAGCAGGGAAGAAAAUGACGGUACCUGAGUAAUAAGCCCCGGCUAACUACGUGCCAGCAGCCUCGGUACUACGUAGGGGGCAAGCGUUAUCCGGAUUUACUGGGUGUAAAGGGAGCGUAGACGGGAGUGGAAGUCUGGAGUGAAAGGCGGGGGCUCAACCCCCGGACUGCUCUGGAAACUGUACGGCUGGAGUGCAGGAGAGGUAAGUGGAAUUCCUAGUGUAGCGGUGAAAUGCGUAGAUAUUAGGAGGAACACCAGUGGCGAAGGCGGCUUACUGAACUGUAACUGACGUUGAGGCUCGAAAGCGUGGGGAGCAAACAGGAUUAGAUAUCCUAGUAGUC
rnacentral:rRNA from 1 species